UAUGUAACAGGGCUCAAAAACUCUCGGUUUUCCUUAAAAUACAUUUCUAUUUUAGCAAUGCGAAAUCAUCAUUGAUAACGCUGCAAUUCAAUUUGCAUACUUGCAAUGUUACCCGUGCAUGAGAAUAUUGCCGUAAUUCGCAAAUUCUUGCGAAAGAGCAUCAAUCUACCUUUUGGUACUAUUUUUAAAAAUCUCUCUCACAACCACACCGACAUAUCGAGAUAUCACUACUAGAGUUGUUAAGAAAGAAAGAAAGAAAAAAAAAGAAGAAUCUUUUCUCGCUCGUUAAUUUCCUUCCUCGCAAUGCGAAACAGAUAAUCUCGAGCCACUCGGUAAAUUUCAAUUUCGAAGAUAACAAUAAUAUACUGUGGAAACGGAAACUCCUGUUAUCGUUACGAAUGCAGUUGCGUAUAUUAAAUAUACGCUUGCCAGACAAUUUUCUUUUUAAAAACAUCGCUCGAUCUCUUCCACGACGGUAGCUACCAAAUCAAUCGAUGCGCACACACGUACUUGUAAACCUUUCAAGGAUCCUUUAAUCGUUGCCAAUUUAUCCGUUUAUCGUUCGAUCCCUACCAAUAAAAUUGCACAUUAGAAU